rnacentral:rRNA from 1 species
GGCUUAAUUUGACUCAACGCGGGAAAUCUUACCGGGUCCGGACACACUGAGGAUUGACAGGUAACGUUAUACACACAUAUAUUUACUCUCGGGUAUUUAUACUGCUGUGUAUAUAUAAAAUAUGCUAGUCCUUUCAUGAUUAUGUGAUAGGUGGUGCAUGGGCGUUCUUAGUUCGUGGAGUGAUCUGUCUGCUUAAUUGCGUUUCACUAAGGAUCUAUAUUCAUAUUACGCAUAGCAUUUUGACCCCUUUAUGCUUCGGUAUAAAGCUGCGCGUCAAACCUUGCUAUCUGCGUAUAUUAGAUCCUGAAAGCAACGAACGUGACCGCAACCUCUUGUUGCCUUUAACUAGGUUUUGCUUACGUAUAGCUUCGGCUUUACGCUUUGCAUCUAAAAAGGCUGAUUUUCUAAACUAGAGGGACCGCUGUUACUUUCUUAAACCAGAGGAAGGUUGCGGCAAUAACAGGUCUGUGAUGCCC